CAAUAGCGUAUAUUAAAGUUGUUGCAGUUAAAAUGCUCGUAGUUGAGGUUCGGAUGCAGCAGAGCUUGGAAACGCUGUUAUGGUGCUUCCGUUGCUUUUGCUUGUCCACAGUGCGUUGCAAGUACGUAUGUGCUUGUGCGUGCAUUUUACUUUGAGAAACAUAGGGUGUUCCACGCAUGUUACGGCAUGAAUAUUCCAGCAUGGGAUAACCUGGUACGACUUCCAAUCUGCCAUUUUGGUUCGUAGGUUGGAAGUAAUGAUUAAUAGGGACUGUCGGGGGCAUUGGUAUUUGACUGUCAGAGGUGAAAUUCUUAGAUUCGUUGAGGACCAACCACUGCGAAAGCAUUUGUCAAGGAUGUCUCCAUUAA
rnacentral:rRNA from 1 species